AUGGUCAAGGAAGCUGUGCUUCAAACUGAUAUGCCAACUGUAGUGAGCAGAGAGCCAACCAAUGUCACAGAAGUUCAACAGAUCAAGGGGAAGAUUCCCCUUUCAACAGUCCCACCAAAACCACCUAAGCAGAAGAUUGUCAAGUUUGCCAGGGGCACAAAGGGGGAACAGGCCACAAAAGGGGUGCCAAGUUCUGCUAGGUUGCUGCCAACUCAGACUGGAAAGAUGCCAACUACAGAUACCAGUGUGCCAACUGAUGUGUUAGUUAGCAGCAUGGUCACAGUCAAAACCACUACAACUGGUCAGGAAGGCACCACUGCAACUGCAAGCCCCAAGGUGCCUACUCAUAGAGAUGCUUCAAUGCCAAACAUAAAAGAAGGUGAUCCAACUAUCAAAGUGCCGUCCCCAAGAGCUAGCACACAACAGCCAAGCAAGCCUGCAUCACCAAGAGCUGACUUUCAGCAACCAUUAACACAAGAGGAGAUGUUCAACAUUAUAAGUAGGUGCAAGCCUCCAAGGCCGCCAACUACAAUACUAUUGCGAACCAAGUCAGUGAACGAUGCACCCGUAUUUGUGCCGCAAGGAGAUGCCCUGGUCCUUGAACCCUUACGAAGAUCAAAGUCUUAUCAUGGUGACGGGUUCUGCGAUGCAUCAUAUUUUGACCUCGGCAUAGAUGGUGAUGCUCCAGCACCUGCUCCAGCAGUAGAAACAGCGGAAGCCGGUGUGAUUUACAUUGAUGAGUGUGAGUUGGACCCAGCAGUUGUGAAUGAAGGAUGUGUUGCUGUUGAUGCUGGCAAGGCAAUAGCUCAAGAGCUAGAUGUUGGUUCACCAGAGAAUUGCCACACCCCGAUAUGCACAGAACCAGAAGCUGGCCCGCAACAUCUCAAAGGUCUCCAUUCAUUGACUACAACAAGAAGAAGACUUUCAGCUCCAAUGAGGCAGUGA
rnacentral:rRNA from 1 species